AGUAGAGAUUACCUAGUGUAAUUAUAUUCCUUUUAGAAUGGAGAAGAUUUGGGUUAAGAAAAGAUGAAACACUUGCCCCAAAUCUCCCUGCUAGUUAGUUUGCCACAGGGGAAUUAGAACUCACAUCUAAUGACUUAGAAUAGUAACAAUACUAAGUUAGAACAGGAAAUUACAUCACAGUUAGAAAAUCUUUACUUCCAAGUAAAUAUCAUUUUACCUAACGCUCUUUCUACCACAUCCACUAUUUUUGUCCUUCGAUUUGGUUUCUACUGUUCAUUCUAUGUACCUGUAUGAUUUUGCUUGGGAAUAACAAACUAUCUCACUUUCCUUUUACUUAGUGUAGAACAGCUCAUCUUCUAAAAAUGAAAGCCAUUCUUCUAUCUUAAGCAAGACGAUUUCUUCCAUGGCGACUAGUAACAUUCAGAUUUACUGACCCUGACAAAUGAGAAGAGCUAGCAGGAGCAUGACGGAAGGAGAUCACAUUAAGAAGAGACGGAAACAAAAAAAUAAGAAGAGACGGGUCUUCUGAGAAGGCAAAAAAGACACAAAGACAUAGGGAAUUCAACAU
rnacentral:lncRNA from 12 species